UUUGUUAGCCUUUGAUAAUUUCAGGAAAACUAUACUGCUCCAUGAAUGGUCCUUGCUGCUUCUGGUGUUGAACAUGAGGACCUAUUAAAGAUACACUUCUUUCGGACUUGCCUAGUGUACCUCGUCCUGAGGAGCCCAAGUCUGUCUAUGUUGGAGGUGAUUCUCGUUGUCAGGGGUAUGUGCAAGUUUGUGCACUUUUUCUAGGAGUUUUUCGAUCUGUUCUUAACAAUUCUCUGGGACUUGUAUUUGUAUAGAUUUGCUGAUCAGUUCCACACCGUCGAGAAAGGCAUUGGACACAAACAAGGUCUCUCUCACAAUGAAAAACUUUGUCUCCCCCUUCCUCCCACUCUCCUCUGUUUGUGUGUGUGUGUUGCGACACAGGAAAACAAGGAUGUAAGCAGUCUCCGCCAUUUGCGAGCGAGUGAAGUUUCAAGAAAUUAAGCCAAAUUUCAGAGAAACCACGAGUAGCAACAGCACACGAUAGAUACAGCAACCUGGAUGGCCUAGUAUCAAAACUGAAGAGAGUAAGUGCAGAAUCAUUACACCAAGAAUGGUAUUUGACCACAUCCGUGAAAAGUAAAGAACUUCCCGUCAUUGGCUACAUCAAGUAAUGCUUUCUCCCCAUCAUCUGAGGCCUUGCUCCGUAUCAGAAAACGGACUCGUUAGAAGCAGCUUGAACCCAGAAAUGCCAUUGAAGUGACGAGAGAAACAAAGAGCAAUGCCUGAAGAUUCUGCUGCUGUGUAUCCUCUGUGUAAGCGCUGAAGAUUCUACCAUUUGGUUUGUUGCUGCUUGUGGUGAUGUAGUGAUGGUAAAAUGCCUGCUCUUGUUGCUUGGUGUGGAUGUCUAAUAUAGCUCUUGCUGCAAUUGUUUUUCUUCGGAUUUCUACUACGUGUUGCAUCUUUUCGGGGAUGAUUUUUGCUGAUACAACUUCAACCUACGGGCAUGUUUCUCAUAAUUUGGAGGGUUUCAAGUAGCCAAUUUAUGUGGUUGGCUUUGGGAGCAGAAAUGGUAUAAGUUCGGCAAAGAAGUAAGCUUCAAGUAAAGAAAAUCUGCGGAAUGAAAUGGUUGGCCUAGUAUAUGAUUACAUUUUCAGGAUAGCAGAAUUACAUUAGUUAUUUUUUAAUGAGUCCAAUUAGUCGGACGCUUUUAUGUAGUUUUUGUUGGGAAAUUGUUUCCAAGCUAAUGUAAUGAAUCUUUAUUCAAUGGUUGAAUUGUUUAUUGUACAUUGACGUUUGGAUA